AGAAUUUUAGCAUGCCUCCAAAUUCUUCUCAAGAAUAUGGUUAGCAAGUAACAUUUUAGAGCUUAUAGACUCUCUGAAGAAGGCUGUGAAAGGAAAAAAAAAAAAGAAAGAAAGAAAGAAAAAGAAGAGGAAAAAAGAAACACAUUAUAAACAACCAACAUGUCAUAGAAUUUUCGAGAAUUUUUGGACCUUUGAGACUUACACAAUACAUGCAUUAAACCAGGCUAUGAAUGUCUUUUCUACAGAAACAAGAAAGGGAAAAGUUGGCUUUGCAGAGAGAAUGCAAUGGAAAAAGAAGUCAUCCAUUCAUAAUCCUUUCAAAAUCAAGAAGAGCUACAUAAAAUGUAGAUGUACUGCCAUUAAGAGCAUACACAAAGACCUGCAUGCUCCACAGUUCUGUUACUGAAUAAACUAGGCUAAGAUAAAAACAAUUUUACAAAUAGGUACUGUUUAGAAGUAGUGAUAAUGAAAUGGAUAUAGGUAAGUCUGUGUAGAAAAAGAUGUGUUUUCGAAAUGUAAAUGUUAUGCUUUCAAGUUAUUUCUUUUCAAAUAAGAUGCAAGAACAUUUGUGCAUUGGUUAGCAUAACAAUGAAUCUGAAUCUAGCAUUUCACUUUAAAAAGCUUUAUUGAGAGUGACACAAAUAGAACUCUGGGGAAAAUGACAAGAUGCAUCUUGAAGGCUAGAGAUUGAAAAGGAAGAACAAAGGGUUUUAUAACGAGAGAAUCCUCAUAUCCUUAACCUAUUAUUUUCUGUUUAAAGGAUGCAUGGUGAUAUCACUUCUGGAAGCCCAGUAAGGCAACAGUGACCCAUUUUCAUUCCACAAAAUGCCCUAUCAUUUCCGUACAAUCAGUGGAUGACUGCAAAAUUAAACCACCUAAGAUUACAUAAUCUCAUGAAUCUUACAUUAAGAAAGUUGCAAAUAUCUGCUGAAAGAGGAAGUCCCAUCUAAAGAGUUACCUCUGUAAUAAGACAUUUCAGAAAUAGAUUUUAGAUCUCCAUAUCACUGUUUAUUAAAUGUGUGUGAUGCAUGAUGUGUGUGUGUUUGUCUGUGUGUGUGUGUGUGUGUGUGUGUGUGUUUUGUAUUAGAUAUUAAAAUACUAAGCUCUAAUGGGCUUAGCGGUUUGCCAAAGAUAACCACUAAAGUUAAGGGAACAAAUUGAAGGGGUGUCCAGCUGGGCAAGUAAGGUUGCAUGCAUAUGUUCUUUACACCCACUUUCUACAGGAAAUUCUAAGAUAUUUUAUUUUAGUAUUUCAGCUUAAUCUCCAUUAUUUCAUUGAUACAGGAUUAAAUCAUCCAAAAUUGGCAUACAUAAUUUAAAUUAUAACUUACAUGACAAUUCUCUAAAAUUCCAAAGGCCUCUUUCAUUCUUAAACCUACCCACUGCAGAAACAUAAAUCAAAUAAUAUAAGUUACUCAGGCAAGUAGCAGGUAUUACCUAGAAGUCAACUUUUAAUGACAAUCAGAUUGUAGAUUCUGUCAUAAUAAGCCUUACUGCUCUCAUUUAAAUUGUUCCCUAUUAAUCUUAAAUUGUUAAUAAUUUAUAUGCGUUGAUUUCUAACAAAUAAGUUAGCUUCAUCAUUAAAAAUGAUUAUUUCUGCUAUGGUUUGAAUGUGUCCUGAAAAUUUUGGUGUUGAACCUUAAUGAUCAAUGUAAUAAUUUUAAGAGGUGGGGCCUUUAAGAGGUGAUUAGACCUUGAGGGAUUCCCCUUUGUAAAUGUUCUAAGACCCUUUUAAAAAAGGUUUUAUGCGAUGAUCGGCUCCCUUGCUCUUUGGCCUUCUGUCAUGUGAGGACACAAUGUUCCUCCUCGGUGGAGGAUGGAGCAACAAGGUACCAUCUUGGAAGCAGAGAGCAGCCCUCAGGGAAAACCAAACCUGCCGGCACCUUGACCUUGGACUUUCCAGACUCCAGAAUUGUGAGAAAAUAAAUGCCUCAUCUUUAUGAAUUACCAGUUUCAGGUAUUUUUAUUGUAGCAGAAUAAGAGGACUAAGACAACGCCUUCUCUUUUUUGAUCUUUAAAUACCAGAGUUCUCCAGAGCUUAGUGUCUGCUCUACUCACUCUCUAUUUUAAAUACCAUCUUUCCUGAUCUUGUCCAGUUUUGUAACUUUAAAUACCGUCUCAAUUUCAAUAACUCUAACAUGUGUGUCUCCUGUUAAGGUUGUUCAAUGGACUCCAGAUUUAUAUAUGUAACUCCACUGAUCAUCUUUACCUCACUAGAAGACAUCUCAAAAUCAGUAUGUCCAAAACUUAAAUCCUGAGAAUCCUUUCAAACUUUCUCACCCACAGCCUCCUCCAUUUCAGUUAGUGGCACCCUAUCCUCCCAGUGGCUUGGGCCAACUGCUUGACUCUUAUUCUCUCAUACCUUGAAUGAAUCCACCAUGAAAUACUAUUGAAAUAACUUCAAAAUAUACCCAGAAUCAUUUUGCUGUUUUAAAAACUAUUUUUUGGUUAUUUUCAUAAGCCCCUAAUCUAUGUCAUCAAUAUCACUUACCUUGAUAAUGAGAAUAGCUUCCUAAAUAAUCUCUCUGAUUUUUUAUUAACCUUCUUCAGUCUAUACAGAAGAAAUAGAUUGAGUGACUUUGUGGUUUGUAUUUCAAAAUAUAAGUUGUAUCAUCUUAUGCCUCUACUCAUGUCCCUGCAAAGGCUUCCCAUUCCCAAUGGUGUCAAAUGCUUCCUAAGGCUUCCUAUGGUCUACCCUAUCUCUAACUUCUGUGAUCACAUUUCUUUCUACUAGUCUUGUACCACUAACUCUGCUUGGUCCCACUGUGCUCUUGUCAUUCCUUGAACUGACAGACACGCUCCCCCAUAGAAUCUUGUCUUAGCUAUUGUCGUUGUUUGGAAAGCUCUUUAGACAUCUGCAUGGCUAACUCCAUCACAUACUUAAUAUAUGCUUUACUUUAAUGUGAUCUUCUUGCUGAGACUUACCCCAAAUACCCCAUUUAAAAUUGUAGUUUGCACCCUGGAUACCUACUGUGCAUGUCAAAUCACCUCUACCCUGUUCUUUUUCAGUAUUUUUUAGUACUUAUUCUCUUCCAAUUUAGUACAUAGCACACUUACUCUGUGUAUUGCUCAUUGUUUCUCCAUACAUACAAACUGAUAUGUAAUCUAUAUGAGGACAGGGAUCUUUUCUCUUGUAUGUGUCACAAUGAUUUCAGACAGUUUCUGCAAUAGGAGACACUAAAUAAGCAUUUCCUACUUAGAACUUUCAUAUAUACCCUUUCUUUUAGCUUAGGGAGAAUAUUAGGCAUUGUGGGAAGGGUAGCAGGAAGCAAUGUAAGGGAAUUAAGUCAGUUAAAUGGUUCCGUUUUCCAUAGCCAUUGUAGUGUUACCUAACGAAACAUUUAAGGACAAACACUUCAAUUUCAUGCUUCUGUAACUGGAGUAGGUAUGAUAUCAAAGACUAUGGCAUGAUUUUCAAGAGGAACUCAGCCCACAGAAUAAACCUGGUUAAUCUCUUGAAUUAAAUUCAUGUAAAAUCUCGAAUAAAAACAUGCUUUAUUCCAAAGUAAAUAUAAACUUGUUGAUCGUAGAAUAGAAAAAUUAGACAAAAUUGAAGAUUUCAAAAAACAAAGACAUUUUACUCUUUAAUCUUUACAAUCAGACCCUAGUGACAUUUAGUUGUCUUUUCUGCCAUUAAAGGUAUUAGAGACUGAGAACACUCUUUAUGUAAGAAAAUCUCUUAAUUUUGGUAUUUUGACUCCUAGCUUAUUUUUUGUAAAGAAGAAUUAUAUACUUUAUUAUUUAUUUAUAUUGUGUCUAGGUUUUCAGGUCCCAGUUAGUGUUUGGUAGACAUAAAUUAUGCUGGAAUGCCUGCUACUGUUAACAUAUGUCUGCUAAUGUUAGCAUAAUCUCUUUUUUUUGAAAAUUCAACAUUGUGAAAACUAAACAUUGGACUAAAUAGACUUUGAUAUGUUACACCUUACUGACCACAAAUAAAUGGUUUAUUGUUGAGCUGAAAUGUCUCAUAUUUUCUUUAAUUAUAAAUAGUUUGAGCAAAAGAACAAUGGUACUUACUAUUACAUGCAUGAUAAUUGGAUGUAUCAAAAUUAACAUAAAUUCAGGUCUUAAAAGCCAUCAUUGCUCACUACA
rnacentral:lncRNA from 10 species